GCCCGCCAUAUUUGCAUUCGGUGUAUUCACAAAUUUCGGAGACCUUUUCUCACUAACAAUAUGCCCUUUGCAGCUAUGCUGUCAGUUGUUGCCUGAAGAGCCAAUGUCUUAAGAAGAAGUGGAGAAUUCAUCGGCAUCUGAAUAUGAAGAUGCUUCUGAUUCAGAGAGUGAUGUCAAUGAUGAGCUAUUUGGGAAAUAUGUGCCAAGUUGAUUUCCUUGACAUCCAACAUGACCUGAAUAGCUUGCAGAAUUGGUCCACUGAUAUUGAGAUUCUUUCCAACCAUCUAAAUAUGUAAACCCCAGGAUAACAAGAAAAAGACAAAGCUCUGAAGCUUAUAUAUGCAUGUUAAUGGCUAAAGAUCUUAAAUUUGUCUCUUCUGCGAAAGACCUUGGCACCAUUGUCUUGAAGGACUUGAAGUGGACUGCACACAUUGCUCGGGUGGUUGCAAAAUCUAAUAGAAUGCUGGGAUUGAGGGUGACCUCAAUAAGGAGUCUCUGAAGCUCUGUUAUAUCUCCCUUGUGCACUCUAAUCUAUGUUACACCUCACAGCUUUGGGCACCGCAAUCUCUUACGUUGAUGCAUGAAGUAGAAAAUAUUCAAAGGAGAGCUACACGUUUUAUCUGCAAGAACUCUGAGCACUCUUACAAGGACAGACAUGUGAAUCUGAACCUCCUUAGUAACCUAUCAACUUCUGGCUGGAAUCUCUUGAUUUAUUAUUUCUCUAUAAGUGUAUUUAGGGAAUUAUUGAUAUUAAUUUAGAUAAAUUUGCUCCAUUUUUAGUGUGCAUUCUCAUCAGGGAUCUUUUGGGCUUUUUCUCAACAACAAAACUGCUAAAACAUCUCUUUUCUGUGAUUCCUUCUUAAUCUGAAUAACUAAUCUGUGGAAUGCAUUAUCUAUUGCCCUGGAGCAGAGUAUUUUUGAUGAAAUUUAAGGUGUUCAGAUAAAUGAUAUCACACUGUCAUCAUUGUUUAAAAUGCAAAUAAGUUAUGUAUCAGCAGUCUCAUAGUGUCAGCAUUGAUGGCUAUUGUGGAUACAAUGGAAGACAUGUAUUCAUUGUAAAUGUAUGGGACUACGCAAAAAUUCAACCUCUGGUAUGGUUGAUGUCAAACAUCACAUAUCCUGGAAAGUUAACUCGCAAACUGUUAACAUGCAUGAUGAAGAUCUGGUCUCUUUUAUAAAGGACAGGGUGCUGUCUCUUUUAUUAAGGAUAGGCUGCUCUCAGCAAGAAACAGUUGGGUUACAAUGCAUUAAAUCAUUCUCUUUGCUUGCCCAGUAGGGGACAGAUUUGCAGCAAAAUUACUCUUCACUCAAUAAUAUGUGCUUUUCCAUUUAAAACAGUGGCUGGCAUAUGCCACUUUCUUUCUUUUGAUUUAUUUAGAUUAAAGCCCCUUGAACUAAAUCAUAAGAAAUAUGAUAAUAGUAUGUAUGUUAGAUGUUACCACACUUUACGUACUUUUUCAACUAUGUGUUUCAAAUAUUAAAAUGAAAUAAAUACUAAUUCAUGCACAAAUGAAUACUUAAUUCAGUACAGACAAUUGCCUAUAAUCAGCAAUUAUUGCUCCUACACGUGUUAGCAAGAACUUGGUCUUGUUGGCUUUUAUUGUGAGUGUUUGAUAAUCCAUAUAUUAGUGGAGAACACUCUCUGCAACUAUCUUUGCAAAGAAAAUACUAAUCCUUUCACCCUUACUUAAUUUCAUUCAUACAGGCAUGGAUGAGAACCAGUAGCAAAGAAAAGUAAACAAAAGUGCCAAUGAGGUGGUAAGCUCCAUUGCAAACAUUUUCUUGGCAAGUUAUGCACUAGUUAUAAAAAGGUAUAUGUUGUGAUUAAUUUUUGUCCUUGGUGUAAACAUAAUUUUCCUUUGGUUUUGUUAAUGAGAUGAAUGAAAAUGCAUUUCAUGUAAAGAAAGAUAAAAUUCACAGCUGUAGCUCCUAGAGUGUAAGUUAUGAUGUGUCACUAUCAAUUUGGCCUAUAUUAAAAGUAAAAGAAUUAAACUAAGAAUAAAACUGAACCACAGCAUACCUAUACUAAACCCUCAUUUUAUUUGUAUCAAUAUUACUAUUUUUUCUGGUGUUCACCCAAUAGAUUCAAUCCACUGAUGGACAAAGAUGGCACCUGUACAUUUUACCAUUACUCCUAGGCUAAGGCACAUGUAGAAAGCAAUAUUUCACAAAGCAACAACAUAUGCAGGGUUUAAAUUUUUCAGACCUUUACUGCUUCUUUUUAUGAGUGGUUCCAGGAUUUUCUUGCACAACGAGUUCUGGUUGAGUGUACCCGUCACCAUGCUUUUUGCUAAUUGAGUCUGUAAAUGGAGAGCGAACACAGAAUAUUGAUGAUUGUUGAUCAAUUAAUGCUGAGUUGGCUACCUUGGCCCGAGAUGGAGGACCACGUGAGCAUGUCAUUAACAUGGAGUGGCUGGAACAAGAAAUAGUUUUGAAAGAGCAGUUGGAAAGAGGAAGAGAAGAACAAAGAAAAUGGGAGGAGCAAACGAAAAGAGAGGAACAAAGAAGGGGAGAAGAUCAUUUUUCCGACACAUACCUACACUUAAGUUAUCCCUUUUUAAAUUUUAAACUUAUAUAGAGUGUUUUCAUUCACAUGACUUUGUUUCCUUGCAACCUUACCGUCCGCCAUUAUGGUGUCCCACGAAAGAAAGUGCGAGCCGGUCACUUACUAUAUUUAUCGAUUUAAACUGUGAAAGAUCAAUAUUGUAUCGUUUGCUAUUACAAUGGUUCUGUGCAUUAUUGUUUAGUGGCAACAAGAGUGGACAAAGUUCACAAAAAAAGGAUUCUGUAGUGAAAUUUAGUCGUGUUCCGAAAAUCGUUAAGAACGAAGGCGAGGUGAUAGAGGAGUUGACACAGGUAGCCCAAGCUCUGUCACAGGCUCUUUCACAGUGAAUAAUUAAAGAGUUUAUCAGAU